rnacentral:rRNA from 1 species
ACGAAACGCUGGGCGGCGUUGCCUAAGACAUGCAAAGUCGCACGAGAAAGUCCUUCGGGGACGAGGUAGAAGUGGCGGCACGGGAAGAGUAAUACAUCGGAACGUUACCUUAGGGUGGGGGGAUAACCACGGGAAACUGUGGCUAACACCGCAUAAUGACGUGAGUCUAAACCAGGCCUCUAUUUAUAAGCUUGGGCCCUUUCGAGGGCGGCCGAUGCCCCAUUAGCUAGUUGGGUAGGGUAAUGGCCCACCAAAGGGCGACGAUGGGUAGGCUGGUUCUGAGAGGAUGAUCAGCCUCACUGGGAACUGAGGAACACGGCCCAGACUCCCUACGGGAGGCAGCAGUCGGGAAUUUUGCACAAUGGGGCGGCAAGCCUUGAUGCAGCAAACGGCCGCGUGAGUGAAGAAGGCUCUUGGGUUGUAAAGCUUCUUUCGGCCAAGAAGAAGGGUUCUACCUGCGAAACAGUCUGUAGAUCUGACGGUAUUGGAAGAAGAAGCACCUGCUAAACUUCGUGCCCAGCAGCAGCGGGUAAUACGAAGGGUGCAAGCGGUUGUUCGGAAUUACUGGGCGUGGCGUAAAGCGCGCGCGUAGGCGGGCUUGUAAGUCGAUUGUGAAAGCCCUGGGCCUUAACCUGGGAACAGCAGUCGAAACUGCAGGCCCUUGAAUGUCUGAGAAGGAUGGCGGAAAAUAACCCGGUGUAGUAGUGAAAUACGUAGAUAUCGGUUAGAAACACCUGAAGGCGGAAGGCGGCGGCUAUCUGGCGGAACAUUGACGCUGAGGCGGCGAAAAGCGUGGGGGAGCAAACAGGAUUAGAUAACCCUGGUAGGUCCACCGCCCGUAAAACUAUGAUUACUAGGUGGUCCGGGAUGUUAACCUCUUGGGUACCGAAGCUCACGCCAUUAAGUAAUCCGCCCUGGGGAAGUUACGGUCGCAAGGACUAAAACUCAAAGGAAUUGACGGGGGCCCGCCACAAGCGGUGGAAGUAUGUGGUUUAAUUCGAAAGCAACGCGCAGAACCUUACCUGGGCCUUAACAUCCCCCUGACAUCCGCAGAGAUGCGGCUUCUCCUUCGGGAGCAGGGAGAUAGGUGGCUGCAUGGCUGGUCGGUCAAGCUCGUGUCCGUAAGAUGUUGGGUUAAGUUCCCGCAACGAGGCGGCCAACCCUUGCCCUUAGUUGCCACCAUUAAGUUGGGCACUCUGAGGGGACUGGCCGGUGUUUAAACCGGAGGAAGGCCGGGGAUGACGUCAAGUCCCUCAUGGCCCUUACCGUCCAGGGCUAACACACGUACUACAAUGGCAGAGACAAAGGGUUCGCGAAGCCGCGAGGUGAAGCUAAUCCCAAAAAACACUGGUCUCAGUUCCGGAUUGAAGUCUGCAACUCGACUUCAUGGAAGCUGGAAAUCGCUAGUAAUCGCAGAUCAGCACGCUGCGGUGAAUACGUUUCCCGGGCCUUGUACACACCGCCCGUCACACCACGAAAGUGAUUAUAACCAGAAGCCAGGUGCGCCCAACCGCAAGGGAGGCAGCCUACCAAGGUUUGUAGGUCGUGAUUGGGGGU